rnacentral:rRNA from 1 species
CCGGCGAUUUCCGAAUGGGGAAACCCAGUGUGAUUCGUCACACUAUCAUUAACUGAAUCCAUAGGUUAAUGAGGCGAACCGGGGGAACUGAAACAUCUAAGUACCCCGAGGAAAAGAAAUCAACCGAGAUUCCCCCAGUAGCGGCGAGCGAACGGGGAGGAGCCCAGAGCCUGAAUCAGUGUGUGUGUUAGUGGAAGCGUCUGGAAAGGCGCGCGAUACAGGGUGACAGCCCCGUACACAAAAAUGCACAUGCUGUGAGCUCGAUGAGUAGGGCGGGACACGUGGUAUCCUGUCUGAAUAUGGGGGGACCAUCCUCCAAGGCUAAAUACUCCUGACUGACCGAUAGUGAACCAGUACCGUGAGGGAAAGGCGAAAAGAACCCCGGCGAGGGGAGUGAAAAAGAACCUGAAACCGUGUACGUACAAGCAGUGGGAGCCUCUUAAUGGGGUGACUGCGUACCUUUUGUAUAAUGGGUCAGCGACUUAUAUUCUGUAGCAAGGUUAACCGAAUAGGGGAGCCGAAGGGAAACCGAGUCUUAACUGGGCGUUAAGUUGCAGGGUAUAGACCCGAAACCCGGUGAUCUAGCCAUGGGCAGGUUGAAGGUUGGGUAACACUAACUGGAGGACCGAACCGACUAAUGUUGAAAAAUUAGCGGAUGACUUGUGGCUGGGGGUGAAAGGCCAAUCAAACCGGGAGAUAGCUGGUUCUCCCCGAAAGCUAUUUAGGUAGCGCCUCGUGAAUUCAUCUCCGGGGGUAGAGCACUGUUUCGGCAAGGGGGUCAUCCCGACUUACCAACCCGAUGCAAACUGCGAAUACCGGAGAAUGUUAUCACGGGAGACACACGGCGGGUGCUAACGUCCGUCGUGAAGAGGGAAACAACCCAGACCGCCAGCUAAGGUCCCAAAGUCAUGGUUAAGUGGGAAACGAUGUGGGAAGGCCCAGACAGCCAGGAUGUUGGCUUAGAAGCAGCCAUCAUUUAAAGAAAGCGUAAUAGCUCACUGGUCGAGUCGGCCUGCGCGGAAGAUGUAACGGGGCUAAACCAUG